AGAGUUUGAUCAUGGCUCAGGAUGAACGCUAGCGGGAGGCUUAACACAUGCAAGUCGAGCGGGAUUCACUUUCGGGUGAUGAGAGCGGCGCACGGGUGCGUAACGCGUAUGCAACCUGCCUUGUACAGGGGGAUAGCCCAUGGAAACGUGGAUUAAUACCCCAUAGUAUUGUUGAACCGCAUGGUUUAACAAUUAAAACUACGGUGGUACAAGAUGGGCAUGCGUAGGAUUAGCUAGUAGGUGAGGUAACGGCUCACCUAGGCAACGAUCCUUAGGGGUUCUGAGAGGAUUACCCCCCACACUGGUACUGAGACACGGACCAGACUCCUACGGGAGGCAGCAGUGAGGAAUAUUGGUCAAUGGGCGAGAGCCUGAACCAGCCAUCCCGCGUGCAGGAUGACGGCCCUACGGGUUGUAAACUGCUUUUCUACUCCAAGAAACCACCCUACGUGUAGGGUGUUGCCAGUAGAGUAGGAAUAAGCAUCGGCUAACUCCGUGCCAGCAGCCGCGGUAAUAAUCG
rnacentral:rRNA from 1 species